GCGGCGUUCCUUUAGAAACGCUGCUCCUAGCAAUGAUAUUGUUGAACUAAACUACAAUGCAAGCUGCAAUUCUGACAUAACAACUUCAGCGGCGGAGCAGCAGACUGAAGUGAGUAAUUCUGUCAGUGGAGGCAACGGACAUACCAGUACGCAGCAUUCCUUUAGAAACGCUGCUCCUAGUAAUGAUACUGUUGAAUUAAAUUACAAUACAAGCCGCAAUUCUGACAGAACACUUUCAGUGACCAUAUUAUUGAGUAAACAGGAUGCAAAUAAUGACUUUUCUGCUGUAUUGAACUCCAAGGGACAGCAUUUAAUUUGUGAGCCGUUAGAACUGGUAAAAUGUAAACAGCGGCUUGAUGUAUUUUCUGACAAUCAUACUGGACUCAUGGUUAAUGGUGGCUGCUUUCCCGCUUAAGUGCAUUUACUCACCUUCAGGAACUGUCAAUAAUUUUCUCUCCAAGAUUACAUUCUUGCGAACUUAAAGUUGACGACUUCGAAAUUUUCUGCCACCUUCGAAAACUCAUUCUUCAUAGAGUCCAGUUUGAUGAACAAGCCGAAGAGUUUGCCUUAGCAGUGAAAAGAAUUCCACAUCUCACUGUCUUCCACCUGAUAUGUUGUAAAUUCCCACCUAUUGAAGAACUUAUUGUCUCUCUGUCUGCCUGUCAAAACCUGCAGGAAAUCAGACUGGAAUGGCUGACCAUAACAGACCAA